GGAGGCUUUUACAUAUUAAUUAUGCCAUUAUUAUUAUUAUUAUUAUUAUUAUUAUUAUUAUUAUUAUUAUUAUUAUUAUUAUUAAGGUUGGGCGGAUUGAUUAUCAAAGUAUUGAUACUACCGAUACUAAAUCUUGUUUUGAGGAUCAAUUUUAAAUUUUAAUUUUAAUUCACUCACCUUACUCACAUAUUUCUCUUACAUACAAGUACAUUAGUAGCUGUUAACAUAAAAAAAAUACUGUAUUGAUAUCAGUGAUUCUAACAUACUUGGAUCAAAACCAAAUCGCCCACACCGACCUGUGUGUAUGAAAUUGUCAUAUCUCACUGGUAAAGACUGCAAAGUAGCAGAAUGUCUCAUGUGAACUCAUAACAGAGUUGAUAACAUAACAUAACAUAACAUAUGUUAUCAACUCUGUUAUGAGUUCACAUGAGAAACACCUGCCUGGACUUCCGUCAGCAGAGCUUUGGACUUGGUUCACGGUCCGCGGGAUUUGGACCGGAGUGAGCGCUCUUCGUUUUCUGCUCGUCUCGGACCUCCAACGAUCUCAUCUCUCAUUCAGUCAAUGAAACAGAACCGCCUCUCUGGCAGUUGCCAUGACAACGGAGAAACGAUCCCGGCACAUUCCCUGAUGUCUCAGCUGCGGUUCCCUGGCAACAGCUACACAAAUCCAGGAAAACUUCCGGAAAAGACCCUCGCUCGUCUUUCUGCUCGCCCGAACGUGGAAUAACUGCAGGACUUACUUUUCAGGAUUCUUGGACAAUAUAUUUGAAAUAAAACAAACAUGACGACUUCUUCCCUUCCUGUCUUAGAGAGCAGCGACCCUCGUCUAAAACUGACGGUGGAAAACAGAAUAAGAAACAUUUUUGUAACACAAUCGCAGGACACCAGUAAAAGAAAGGAAGAAAAUGUCAACCACAUACCUGUUGUGACGGAGACUCCAAGCAGAGUCCUUGAGGCAGGAGUGAACACUUUGCAAAAGACCCUGGUUCUGAAGAAACAGGCUGAGUUGGACGAGGUGGACCAGCAACUCACACUCAAACGACGAGAGUUCAAGAACUGUGUGGAGACUCUAGCUCGGAGAAGGUCUGAACUGGAAAUAAGACAACAUCAGACUGAAGAGAGGGCGAUUAAGUUUGAGAAGUUUGUGGCUGAAAAUGAAGCAAAGCGACACCGAGCGCUGACGACAUAUGAGGCUGCACGGGAGCUGAACAUUUCGAAACAGAGAGGGAUAGAAGAUCUGACAGAACAGUUGAAACAACUUAGAGCUAGACAUGAAGUUUUAAAGGAGAGAAUGGCAAAAUACAAAAUCUAUGAGGACUACUUGAUGAAAACGCUAGAUUAUCUCCCCAACAUUUACCUUGAUAAUGGGUCUGAAUCUUUGGUGAUGCCCAUCAUUCGGCGCCACGAGACCCUGUCCAUCACCCACCGGGAGCUGCUGCAGCGUCUGGGGCGUCUGGAGGAGGAGGUGGAGCAGGGCCAGCGACACCUGCCGAUCAUGAAGCAGGACCACAGUAUUAAAAAAUUGAUGGCCAAUAAGGAACUUUCGGAACUCCAGAGUGAGUUAGAAACCCUCAAAGAGAAGAACAAGAAGGCAGAGGUUAACCUGCUGAUGGAGCAAGGCCUGUGCAGAGAGAAGGUUAAGGAAGUGGGUUGCUUGCUUAUGGCCAUCAACAACCUUGCAGAGCAGUGUUAUCUAGCAGCAUAUGGACCUCUGGAAAACAUGAACAUGCUGACAAUGAUGGACAUGGUGAAGGAGUACAUCCUCGACAAGGCAGACACAGAGAGGAGAGUGAGGAGACUGAUGGAGUCGGGGUCUGCCAUGACAAGUAAAACAGCUCUGACAGAAAAGAGAGAGAAGGGGUCAAUGAAAAGCAUCGGCAGUAAAACACAAAUCAAAAGUUCAAGUAAAGUCAGUAGAAAGAGUGAGACAAUGAGUUGAUGCUUAACUUUUACAUUAACAUGGUGUCACUGCUUACAAUACUCUAAGUUUGUUGAGUGUGAAAGUUCAGUUUUUACCUUGGAAACAGUAGUUUGACAAAACAAAAUGAAAACAAUUUGACGAGCAUAAAAACCAAGAAAACUACAUCCCAUGAUGAAGAAUGUGAGAAAAGGUUUAAAGAUCUAUAAGUGGGUUAACUCUUCAAUUCUUCUGUAACAGAUGUUCAGUGUUCAAAACUGUUAAUGCACUCAAUUUUGCACUUCAAAUGUUAUAUUGUACAUUUCUUUUUUAAAUAAGGUGAUCACGUGUAUUCGAGCUUCAGAACUUUGUAAAUGUUUGUCUCUGGAAUGUAAUGAUCAAAUAAUGUCAGACAGUGAUACCCAUCAAAAUGGCAUAUGCAGUUGUAUGUAUGCAAUUUCUAACAUAUUUAGAUUAUACAAACAGCAAUGAGAAAAUAAGUAUUUUAAUGAUGCAGAAUAAGAUUUAUUUGUGAUAUUCUGCAUGCACAAGGUAAAUUUCCCAGUUGUGGGGCGAAUAAAGGAUUUCUUAUUCUGAUUCUGAUCUAUCAAUAAAUACAGUAAAUAUAAUGCAGCAGAUGCAAUCUGAGUUUUCUGUUGUAAAUCCUACAUAAACAUACACACAUACACACACCUGCAGGACCAAAUGUUGCAACCAUUUACAUGUUCUGUAUUUACCACAAAAUGUGUGCUUGUACAAGUUAAUGCUAGAUUCUGGCCUGCUCCAUGUCGUCAGACACUGACAUACAGGUUUUCUUACAGCCUUCUUGUGCAGACAG
rnacentral:lncRNA from 1 species